rnacentral:rRNA from 1 species
AGAGAGUUAAAGAGUGCUUGAAACCGACAAGGGGAAACCCGGUUGUGCCCGGUGUCGUGCAGUUGACUCAGCCUUUACGGGUGCACUUCUGCUGCGCGGGUCAGCCGCCGCUGCAUGCGAGGGAGAAUCGUCCGGGGGGCUUCGGUGAGCCGGUACCUACCUCGCUUGUGGCGCCGUCUGACGUAACGGGCACCACCGACCCGUCUAGUAACACGGACCAAGGAGUCUGACAUGGGCGCGAGUACUCGGGUGUCAAGCCUGUGUGCGCAAUGAAAGUGAAG